rnacentral:rRNA from 1 species
GACAGAGGGUGCAAACGUUGCUCGGAAUUACUGGGCGUAAAGCGCACGUAGGCGGCUUUUUAAGUCGGGGGUGAAAUCCUGGAGCUCAACUCCAGAACUGCCUUCGAUACUGGAAAGCUCGAGUCCGGGAGAGGUGAGUGGAACUGCGAGUGUAGAGGUGAAAUUCGUAGAUAUUCGCAAGAACACCAGUGGCGAAGGCGGCUCACUGGCCCGGUACUGACGCUGAGGUGCGAAAGCGUGGGGAGCAAACAGGG